rnacentral:rRNA from 1 species
GAUGAACGCUAGCGGGAGGCUUAACACAUGCAAGUCGAGGGGUAAAUGGUAGCAAUACUAUGAGACCGGCGAACGGGUGCGUAACGCGUAUGCAACUUACCUUAUGCAGGGGGAUAGCCCGUGGAAACGCGGAUUAAUAUCCCAUAGAUCAGUAAUAUCGCAUGGGUAUAACUGGUAAAACUCAGGUGGCAUAAGAUGGGCAUGCGUCUGAUUAGCUAGUUGGUAGGGUAACGGCCUACCAAGGCGACGAUCAGUAGGGGUUCUGAGAGGAUUAACCCCCANACUGGUACUGAGACACGGACCAGACUCCUACGGGAGGCAGCAGUGAGGAAUAUUGGUCAAUGGGCGCAAGCCUGAACCAGCCAUCCCGCGUGAAGGAAGAAGGCCCUACGGGUUGUAAACUUCUUUUCNGUUUGAAGAAUAAGCUCGUCGAGACGAGUG